CACACCGUGGGAUGUAAGGAGCUCUCUGAUUGGUUGGUCAGACACAGGCUGUCUGCCAGCCUGGAUUUUUCUAGCUCAUAGCUUCUCCCUGCUAAGAAGCGUGUGUGCUUGUACAAAGGCCGUUCAGCCUCGGGAUUUACACUCGGCUCGACACGGAUAUGUGAAGAAUGAAGGGACCCUGCAGCGAAACGGAGAGCCAACCUCUGACUGAGUACUUGUUUACGCAGUCUGACCACCUGUUGAAGGGCUGUUUGAUGACGAUUUGGACUCCUCUGGGAGAUGAGGACACACCCACAUCUGUUCCAUACUGCAGCCAUUGAUGGUGUUACAGCUCUGAGGCAGCUUUGGGCCAUCAGACGCACACACUGGAAAACCAGCACCUGGACUUCAUGCAGGAGAGACGGCCUCAGUGAUUUAGAAUUAAUCAGCAGCUGUGGAGAGAUGCAUUUGAAUAUCUUCUGGUUCCACUUUUCCUAACCUGGAAGCUGAGGAUGGCUGAUUUCUGACAGGGACACACACCUCAGCGCUUAUCAUGGGUGUUACAUCCUCUGUGCCGCGAUUCCAGAGAAAACGAGAGAGUAACGACCACUCAUUAAGACCAGCCAGAAAUCUGUCCCUUUCUGGCAGCUGUAAAAAAACUUCAAAUAAGAAAGUUUGCAUUCUUAGAACAAUGCUGGGUCAUGUGUGAUGUGUCAUCAUAUGAGGAUAUUACAUUUUGACUUAAU